UGCCCUUCUGCAGAUGAACAGCGGGAUCAACACCCAAGUUCGGACCGCGGUCUACGAAUACAGCCCAAAGGACAGACACGCCAUCAACAGGAUUCAGGAAAAGUUCAGAUGCUGCGGCGCCGACACUUACACCGACUGGUCCAGAAGUGUCGGGCUGGGGAAACCAUGAAGCCGUGCCAGAUUCCUGCUGCCCGGAGAAGAGAGAAGGCUGUGGACAUGACAAGGAAAAAGCUCACAGAAAGGGAUGUAUCUCAGCUAUAAAGUUCUUUCUGUUGAAGAAUCUGGUGUGGGUCGGCGGUGUUUGCAUUGCUCUUGGAAUCACAGAGGUGUUUGGCGUGGUAGUCGGAGUGUGCCUCUGCCUGGACAUUAAACGCAAAAAUUAUGAGAAUGUCGACUAAUUCAUCAUCACAACCAUCUUUACAUGUCAACAAACAAACUAACAAACUUGUUUGAUCAUAAUAUACAUUUUUGUUUUAUGUGAUUAUAUGCUCAAAAACAUUC